UCUUCGGAUUCAGUGGCGGACGGGUGAGUAACGCGUGAGAAUCUGCCUUCAGGAUGGGGACAACAGUUGGAAACGACUGCUAAUACCCAAUAUGCCUUCGGGGGUGAAACUAAUGGGCUUGAAGAGGAGCUCGCGUCCGAUUAGCUAGUUGGUGGGGUAAGAGCCUACCAAGGCAGCGAUCGGUAGCUGGUCUGAGAGGAUGAGCAGCCACACUGGGACUGAGACACGGCCCAGACUCCUACGGGAGGCAGCAGUGGGGGAUUUUCCGCAAUGGGCGAAAGCCUGACGGAGCAAUACCGCGUGAGGGAGGAAGGCUUUUGGGUUGUAAACCUCUUUUCUCAAGGAAGAAGCCAGUGACGGUACUUGAGGAAUCAGCAUCGGCUAACUCCGUGCCAGCAGCCGCGGUAAUACGGAGGAUGCAAGCGUUAUCCGGAAUUAUUGGGCGUAAAGCGUCCGCAGGUGGCUCGUCAAGUCUGCUGUCAAAGACUAGAGCUCAACUCUGGAAAGGCAGUGGAAACUGGAGAGCUAGAGUACGGUAGGGGUUGAGGGAAUUCCCAGUGUAGCGGUGAAAUGCGUAGAUAUUGGGAAGAACACCAGUGGCGAAGGCGCUCAACUGGGCCGUAACUGACACUCAGGGACGAAAGCUAGGGUAGCGAAAGGGAUUAGAUACCCCUGUAGUCUUAGCUGUAAACGAUGGAUACUAGGGCGUUGCUUGUAUCGACCCGAGCGGUGCCGUAGCCAACGCGUUAAGUAUCCCGCCUAGGGAGUACGCACGCAAGUGUGAAACUCAAAGGAAUUGACGGGGGCCCGCACAAGCGGUGGAGUAUGUGGUUUAAUUCGAUGCCACG
rnacentral:rRNA from 1 species